rnacentral:lncRNA from 1 species
UUGUUAAGUAUGUAGUGGGGCCUGAUGAUCACAAGACUGAUAUUCGGCUACUAGUAUAUAAGAAGAGGCCAUCUACUUCUACUUAUCACUCAACACUAAACUGCAAAUUUAGCAUCCCUUUCUGAUACCUUCAUCGAAAUAUCUUAAAUCAUCGGCCAACAUCAUUCAAUUCACUCCCUCCGCUCACUGGGAUACGCGCGCAUCUGUGUAAGGAAGCAAAAAGAGCAAAAUAAAAAAAAUGGAAGGGGCAAGAAAGGAAAGGCUACAAAGCAGAGGUUUGAGAAGGUUUCUAAAACAACAGAGAUCAAGGAUUUACAUCAUCAGAAGAUGUGUUGUCAUGCUCCUUUGCUGGCAUGACUAGUUAUUACCUGUCUGCUGAUUAAGCACUAAUCUUCUUUAAUUUUUCCAUGUAUAUAGCUAGUCAAGAGAGUAGUUAUUAUUAAGACAAAAGUUAGGAAACUUAAUGUGAUUUUAUCUGCAGAUACUUUCUUUAUAUUUGUCCAUCUUAGCUAGCUUACUAAUAAUUUUCUAGCCUUAUACAAGUACAUGAGCCGCUAUAAAUUAGCCAGCUACAAGUUCUUACUCUUCCUAUUCAACUUAUUUAUCAAAUUAACGGCAAUCAGUCUUGUGUGCCUUCACCUUA